rnacentral:rRNA from 1 species
AGAGUUUGAUCAUGGCUCAGGAUGAACGCUAGCGGCAGGCUUAACACAUGCAAGUCGAGGGGCAUCACGGGUAGCAAUACCUGGUGGCGACCGGCGGAAGGGUGCGUAACGCGUGAGCAACAUGCCCUAUACAGGGGGAUAAUCAGGGAAACUUGGUCUAAUACCCCAUUGGAUUUAUUGGUGGCAUCAUUGAUAAAUUAAAGCUUCGGUGGUAUAGGAUUGGCUCGCGUGACAUUAGUUUGAUGGUGAGGUAACGGCUCACCAUGGCGAUGAUGUCUAGGGGUUCUGAGAGGAAGGCCCCCCACACUGGGACUGAGACACGGCCCAGACUCCUACGGGAGGCAGCAGUGAGGGAUAUUGGACAAUGGAUGGAAAUCUGAUCCAGCCAUGCCRCGUGCAGGAAGACGGCCCUAUGGGUUGUAAACUGCUUUUAUACGGGAGCAAUAAGGUCUACGCGUAGACUGAUGAGAGUACCGUAUGAAUAAGCAUCGGCUAACUCCGUGCCAGCAGCCGCGGUAAUACGGAGGAUGCGAGCGUUAUCCGGAUUUAUUGGGUUUAAAGGGUGCGUAGGCGGCUUUGUAAGUCAGCGGUGAAAUUUUGCAGCUUAACUGUAACAGUGCCGUUGAUACUGUGAGGCUAGGAUUUGGUUGCUGUGGGUGGAAUGUGUGGUGUAGCGGUGAAAUGCUUAGAGAUCACACAGAAUAUCGAUUGCGAAGGCAGCUCACAAAGCCAAGAUUGACGCUGAGGCACGAAAGUGUGGGGAUCAAACAGGAUUAGAUACCCUGGUAGUCCACACUGUAAACGAUGAUAACUCGCUGUCGGCGAUAUACAGUCGGUGGCCAAGCGAAAGCGAUAAGUUAUCCACCUGGGGAGUACGACCGCAAGGUUGAAACUCAAAUGAAUUGACGG